rnacentral:ribozyme from 1 species
AGAAGACACGUCAAAAAUAAUCUGAAGUUUCCUUUUUAUUUAGAUAUAUGUAUAAAUCUCAUAAAUAAAACAGUACAAGAAAAUCUAU